rnacentral:rRNA from 1 species
CCAAUAGCGUAUAUUAAAGUUGCUGCAGUUAAAAAGCUCGUAGUUGAAUUUCGGGACCAUCAUGUCGGUCGUGCCUCGGUACGUACUGGCAUUGUUGGUUUCUCCCUUCUGACGAACCAUGAUGUCAUUUAUUUGGUGUUGUGGGGAAUCAGGACUGUUACUUUGAAAAAAUUAGAGUGUUUAAAGCAGGCUCACGCUUGAAUACAUUAGCAUGGAAUAAUGAAAUAGGACGUUUGAUUCUAUUUUGUUGGUUUCUAGGAUCGACAUAAUGAUUAAUAGGGAUAGUUGGGGGCAUUAGUAUUCAAUUGUCAGAGGUGAAAUUCUUGGAUUUAUUGAAGACUAACUACUGCGAAAGCAUUUGCCAAGGAUGUUUUCAUUAAUCAAGAACGAAAGUUAGGGGAUCGAAGACGAUCAGAUACCGUCGUAGUCUUAACCAUAAACUAUGCCGACUAGGGAUCGGAUGAUGUUAAUUUUUUAAUGACUCAUUCGGCGCCUUACG